rnacentral:lncRNA from 10 species
GGAUAAUGGCCUUCAGUUUAUGAGGGUUGCUAUAGCAAAGGACAAGUGAGAAGAAAUUUCCAUCAGGUCCAGUCUCCAAUUGGCUGAAGAUUGGCUCCAUGGAAGAUAAUUUUCCCUUGUGUCUGAGUUGGGCAAUCGUGGGCACUAGGGGUGGUCCUGAAGUGGUAAGGUCCACAGAGAUGCCCUGAAGGGGAAGCAAGAGGAAGUGCAAGAGCAGGAUGGCACUUCUGUGAAGUGGGCUGAUGCUCACACAGUGCUGUCACUGCUUGAGGCUGGAAGAAGAGACAGGUCCCCGCAUCAGAGGAACACAUUGUUUUCUUGGGAAGCCUUCAAGAGACAGUCAUGCAUGGGUGAGAAACUGGUGCUCUCAGAGAGCGUAUGAGUGGCCCAAUGUCACACUACCUCUGGGUGUGUGCAUGUGGAGCCAGGAUUUGAUCCUGGGCAGAUCAAACCCCAAGUGCCACCAGGUGCAGUCGAUCACAUGCUGACCCCCCACUUUACUGAUGAGAAAACUGAGACCUAGAGAGGUUGAGUAACCUGUCCAAGACACCUGGAUGAUAAGCCGGACCCAGCCAACAAGCCCAGCCAGCUUGAUGCCAGAAUCCUCUUACCUGACCUCUGUGCCUGCCAUCCCAGCUGCUAGAGUGGAGAGCCGGCCUUUCCUCGCUGCAGGAUGGACCCUAGGCCUCUCUCUGGGUUUCCAGAUCCUGCUCUGAAGAGCCGGCCUUUCCUCGCUGCAGGAUGGACCCUAGGCGUCUCUCUGGGUUUCCAGAUCCUGCUCUGGAGAGCCGGCCUUUCCUCGCUGCAGGAUGGACCCUAGGCGUCUCUCUGGGUUUCCAGAUCCUGCUCUGGAGAGCCGGCCUUUCCUCGCUGCAGGAUGGACCCUAGGCGUCUCUCUGGGUUUCCAGAUCCUGCUCUGGAGAGCCGGCCUUUCCUCGCUGCAGGAUGGACCCUAGGCCUCUCUCUGGGUUUCCAGAUCCUGCUCUGGAGAGCCGGCCUUUCCUCGCUGCAGGAUGGACCCUAGGCGUCUCUCUGGGUUUCCAGAUCCUGCUCUGAAGAUGAGGAGAUGACAUUUAGCACCAGCCUUCUCUAACUGGCUCUAAGAGGAAUCGGUGUUCCCUGGUGGUUCAGGAGUCAAAAGGGCCAACUGUAGCUUUAUUCCUCUUUCAAAGGAAAUAAAGCAGAGGUCCUAUUUGGGGAUAGGCCCUAUGCCUGAGUUACUUUGGCACUUAAUUGCUAUUAUUUAAUUGCUGUAUUGGGGAGCACAAAGUGAUCUACUGCAAAGUUAUUAGCAAAUUCUAGUUUUAAGGAAAUAAUUACUGAAUUCUCCCUCCCUGGGUUGAGUAAUUCCUUCCAAGAUGCUCAGCGACAUUAAGCAUUUUCACUAGGGCCACUAGCAGCUCUGUAAUAUGCAAAUAAAGUAACUCUGUAAUUACCAAUAAAAUGCUUACUGAAG